CUUCAUUCAGCGUUGAGCUCUUUGUGGAGACAAAAAGGGGGAGGAGACACAGAGGAGCUGUUGCUGGGAUUCAGGAUGUUGGCCAAUCACGGUGAAGCUUGGCUAUAGGCAGCCCAUGUAGACGCAACAGCUUUUGCCGCGAGAAGAGCGCACACUGUGGGAUUAGAGACAUAACAGCAGAAUGGGACCGGGUUGGACCUGCGUGGUUUCGGCGGGUGGGGCUUCCUUGGUCGCGGUUCUUGGGCUCUCCCUGUUCUUCGUGGACGUUGCUCGGUGGCUUUGGUCGGGGUCACUGAGUGCAGCUAUGACACGUCAGAGGAUAUCUGGUCCUCCCGGCUGAGCCUGGUUUCUCCCGAGGGUUUUUUUUCUCCAUUUAUUCAUCAUUGGAGUUUGGGUUCCUCGCCACAGCAGUGCAGUGUUGGCUUGCUCACCGGGAGACUGCAUUUAUUUAUUUAUUCAUUUAUUUAUUAGAUAUUAUUUAUUAUAAUGAUCUUGCUUGGUCUAUAAACACCAUACACUGUGCUGUUUUACCUUUCUGUGUUUUUCUUAUUUGCUCCUGUAAAGCUGCUUUGGAACAAUGCACAUUGUGAAAAGCGCUAUAUAAAUAAAAUUGAAUUGAAUUGAAUUGGUCCUGAGCUGGUUUAGGACCAUCUUAAAUCAGCUCAGCACCAGCUUAAAGUCACCAUGAAACACAAGUAGCGAUUUACUUCUUACCCAUAUCGUGACGUAUAUCUGAGUGAAACGGCUUCUGAAAUUAGAAAAAAAUGUAGGGCGGGGCUUUAUUUUGCCCUUAUUGGUUUGUUGUAAGUUGGGCCUGGAGGGGUGGGCUAAAAAUGCCUGGCCAUUGGACAACCUAGUCCAACCUCUUUUUUGGUGCUUAUAUGGUGAAGAGUUGUUGUUGGGGGGGAAGAGAGCUUAAUGUUUUUAAUUAAAGAUUAAAUGAAUAAAAAAAUGAAUGGUGUGCACGGAUAAAUCAUUUAUAAUAAUCACUGCAACACUGUGUAAAACGCUAAGAAUUUGAUUUCAUGGUGACUUUAAACCAGCACUUGACCAGCUAAGGACCAGCACAUGCAGCUUAAACCAGCACAAACCAGCUACCAUGCUUCAAAACCUACCUAACCAGCAUAUGUUAGUUUUUUGGCACAAAUUGAUACAUAAAUGUGAUCUCCUAUGAAAAGACCCUGUUUUCAGGUUUUCUGAGAAGCAGAUUUAACCUCAUUGUUGAGAAACACGUGAUAUUCAAUUUUGUUGAAUCUUUUCUAUAGGGAAUGGUCUAUAUUUUCACUAAUAAUCAGUCUUCUGAAACGUCGCUCUGUGUUUUCUAUUAACAUACUGUCUUAUUCAAGCAACUUGUAAAAGUGGAGCUUCUCUGAAUGUGUAUCCAGGUCAUCCAUCUGUGCCAGAAAACACACUUUCAAAUCUGCCGACUCAUUGUCAGCCAUCAGCAUCUCAGUUCAGCCAGUGGUUUGCCAAAACAUUUUAAUACUUUAAUUACUUAAUAGUCCUCCAAUAAAGGUAAUUACAGGAAAUAUAGUCAUUUGAUUAAAAAGGCUCUCACUGUUAUAAGUAAUUUGUCUGAUUUACAGUAGGCAUGUCUUUUCAAAGCAUCAUUUUACCGAACAGGCAAAACCGUCUAUCACUCUAAUACAAAAUCCACUUACCGGAUUUACAAAGCGCUGUGUCCACUGGCCAAUCCCUCUAACAGCUUUAAAAUAUCAACACAGCACAUUUAUCUCCCAUUCUUUGUCCUCCUCAUUUCCUGAUCUAUGCUAACUAUUUACGUAAAGCCUUUGUUUCAGCGUUAAAGCUCUUUUGUUGUGAUGCCGUUUUGUGGGUCUCUACAAAGUAUUGGAUUUUCAAAUGCAUGCAAAUCCAGGUAGAAUCUGAAGUUAAUCCAACAGAUUUGUUAUUUUCUGGUGAAACACUUGUGUUUCCACUCAGUGGAUCCAAAAGGGCUAAUUCUGUAUUAUUCACAUGUCCUUAUUUUUCUCCGGACCUGUAUUAUUUGCAAUGUUUCUCAGAACGUGACUCAAGGAAUGUGUUAUAAAGAUGUUUAGGCCACACAGGUUGGAUGUCAAUGAUGCUAAACACUGUUGAUUCUUGUGUGAAAAAGACUUAUCGACCACUUAAUCAACCAGAGGGGUUUGUCUGAUAGACAUGAACCGCAAUCACAGGUGUAAACAUGAGACAGACCACCACUCUCCACAGGAAGUGAAUGUAAGGGGGAAACCUCAAAGACAGGCCUUGUGGUAUUUAUAGGUUUAGGUCAAUUACUCACAAAUUAAGUCAGGUGUUUAAUAGGGAUGUAACAAUAUUACCGAUAUUGUGUUAUCGCAAUAGUAAAAUUGUCUCAAUAUUAUCGUGGUCACAUGACUGUAUGAAACGAUAGGUCUUCCGGGCCUAACAUAGAGAAUGUUAGAAAAAAUAAUAGAUGUUACCUUUGUCAAGGUCUUUCUGGUGCAAUUAUUUUAUAAAAGGGAUUUUUAGGUCAUUUUACCCAUCUCAUACUAGAACUCAUACCUCUAGCAACUAAGAAAUUAGAAUUCUUAUGGUACGUUUCCAAGUCAUCAUUUGUUCUUUUAAAUAUAGCAAAAAAUAUCGUGCCGUGGACAUUAUAUCGAGAUAUUAUUGUACAGUGAGAUUUUGAUGUUGUUACAUCCCUAGUGUUUAAUGUAUGUGGGCACCCAUCUUGAGGCGUGAUGUCACAAAUAAUUUUAGCGCCUAACAAGCCGAACAGACUUAAUCUUGAUUUGUUGUGUCUAGACUGUUUACAGAAAUCUAUGGCUAGUAAGACAAACAAUAAAGUAGUAAUAAAAAAAGUAGCAAAUAAAGUUCUCACACAUUUGAGUAAAAUUGUGUUUUUGUCUUUGCUACAAAAAUAUAUAUAUUUCUAACCCAAGGGAAAGAUUUUAGAAAAAAAACAGUGUUUUUCAUGCAAACAACAUGCAUUUUUUAUACACUCUCUCUUUAAACCUUUAAAGGGGUCAUGUGGCGCGAAUACGUGUUUUUCUGUUUCUUUGGUGUGUUAUAAAUUGCCCACGCAUGUAUUAGACACGUAAAAUUGCAAAAAUUAAAGUGUUGGAACAAAAGAUGCAUUCUAUCUAAAAGUGAAUGCUCACCCAGACCUGUCUGAAACGCCUCGUGUAACCACACCUCCACAAAUCUACGUCAGUUCAUGGUGUGAUUUGACUAAGACCGCCCAAAUUUAUAUGCAAGUAAGGUGGGCGUACCUGUCAGUGCAAUUGCUUUGGAACCUGAUGUUCCAAAUAUGGUAAGAGGCGUUACAUUUCCUUCACAUGCUUGCAGUGUUCGACCAAUCACUACGCACUGGUUAACUGGCCAAUCAUAGCACACCUCGCUUUUCAGAGCGAUGAGUUUAGUAAAAAACGCGCGUUUCAGAGAGGCGGAGCAAAGAGGAGAUACAAACAUGCACGGUAUGUGGAAAAUACAGCGUUUUUGAAACUUAACUUGUUUAUACACAUUUAAUUCUAAAACAAACGCUAAUAU